GCUGGAGAGUGAUGAACACCAUCGAGGGAGAGGCCAGGCAUGCCCUGGGGUCACACUAAUUUUCGGGUCCAGGGGUCAGAACCGGAAGGGUUUUCCCAUGAUCACCAUCAGAAGCGCCCUGCUGUGCAAGUUGCCAGUCAUGGAAAAAGAAGUCCACUGGGGCUGUUUCUAAAGCUGCCGCUGGAACCCAAACUAUCUCCAUCGCAGCCAGUCCAGAGGAAAUCUACUUAUCUCCCAAGAACUCAAGAGCAGAAAACACUCCAGGGCCCAGGGGGCUUGUCUUCUGAUGGAGACUUGCGCCUCAACUGGGUCAUGAAGCCCAGGCCUGUGAUCCCAACAGGGCAAGGAUCUAAGGGAAAACCACCGGGCUUCCACUUGCCUACCUUCCCACAGCAGGUCCAGCAGAAGCAGGAGAGGCUGAAGUCCAAGGUGUUUCCAUUCUGGGAACAUGCUAACAGUGUCCAGAGUGGAAAAACGGGCCCUGCAGUCCCCAAGACAGAGACCCGGGCCACUAAUGAGAGAGAAAAUUCCCAGUGGAGCACAGGCUGGGGAACAAAGAACUUCUCAAGCCCAGGCCUGGGAGAGUUACACCCCACCAAGCCCAAAAUCUCAUGGGAACCAAAAGAGGCCAAUAGUACUUCUCAUCUACAACACUCAUCCUCACUUCCCUUCCUAAGAGGCAGUACUUCUGGCACCGGCCGUGACUCACCCUGCUAUUGUUCCAUUUGCUUUCCUUCUCCAGUUUUUGGGAAUCUUGUGAAGGUUGUGCCAAUGAAGAAGACCCCAGUGAAUACCCCAACUGCCAAUCAGAAUACAUCCACUAUGGCCAAGAAUUCCCAAGUGCUAAAGAAUAAUAAUAAGCAAACUGUGAAGCUUAAAUCAGCUCUUAUUACCAGCUGCUCAGAUGGUACACCAGGGUCCCAGAGACGGUUCCAUCCAUUUCGGGUUCGCUUUGAAGAUGAAAGUCCCAAGGAUAUGGCACUCCGAUACUGGGAGAGGAACUAUGAGGUUCAGAAAAGCCUUCACAAGAGCACAGUCGCAUGUCAGUCCCCAGAACAGAUGCCAGGAAAACCAGGAAUAUGGAUGGAUGGAGUUUCAAGGAGUGGACCUCAGCAGACAAACUUGUGGCAAGAUGAAUCCCUUUGUGAUACCAGAAGGAACAUCUUACCCACGUCAUUCCAGGGCUUGUCUGCUGAUAACCUAAAGAAGACGACCAAUUACAGCGCUGUGUUUUCUAGUCCACUGGCCACCGUCGACUUCUCUGACACCAAGCCGUUCCAGGACCUGAUCACGGAUCACCCGAAGAAGAGUUCCACCUGCAGCAAUCCCUACUCCAGCCCCCUGAGCAGCAUUGAUUUCUCUGGUACCAGCCCCAUCCAGGACCUGCCUGCCGAUACUAUGAAGAAGAAUCCCACCUACAGUGCCGUGUGCACGUCUAGUCCAUUGGCUGGUCUUGACUUCCCUGAUACCAAGCCCUUGAAGGAUCUGUCUAGCGAUCUCUCUACACACACCUCCUUGUUCUCCAGCCCAGCAACCACCAUUGACAGGUCAAAAAGCCGAUCCUUCAAUAAUAGGACCACUCCUGCGAGAGAAAACUCUCCUUCUUUGUGGGUUCCCAGAAUGGACUCCUAUGGACCUCACUGGAAGUUGUCAAACAGCUGGAGGGGAGGACAACCAACAGUUUACCCAAUCUUCCCUUCACUUACCCAGAUCCGGGCUCAAAGGUCUGAAAGUCCCAAGCACAACAGCCCUGAGCCUCCCAAACAGACAAUUAGCCCAAGUGGCUCCUGAACAACAAGGCAACAUGGUAAUAUGGUAAUAAUCCCAGGGGCAUAGGGGCAGAGGACAAAUUCAGCAACAACCUCUGCCCCUUUCCAGCCCCUGCGACACUUCCCUCUCUCCCCAAAAAUAAAGUUACCUAAAAGCAGAUACA
rnacentral:lncRNA from 1 species